rnacentral:rRNA from 1 species
AGAACGAACGCUGGCGGCGCGCCUAACACAUGCAAGUCGAACGAGAAUCCGGGGCAACUCGGUAGUACAGUGGCAAACGGGUGAGGAAUACAUGGGUAACCUGCCCUUGAGAAGGGAAUAACCCGCCGAAAGGUGAGCUAAUACCCUAUACGCUCCUUUUUUCUACGGAAAGGGAAGGAAAGCUAAGCCGUGGGCUUGGCACUCAAGGAGGGGCUCAUGUCCUAUCAGCUUGUUGGUGGGGUGAUGGCCGUACAAGGCGACGACGGGUA